AUACUGAGACAACAGGUCGAAAAAAGCCUCUGAAGAAGGUGAAUUUUGAGUCAAGCCCCGAGUGAUGCAAAGGACCAAAUAGGCCUUGUGAGGCUCUAAGCAGUACUCGGAGUAGAGGCAGAAGAAACACUAAGCGUAAAGGCCACCCCAGUGUGCAUAGAGGGCCAGCAAAGUGCUGGGAGUUUGGUGAGGGAAGGGGCUUUGGAAGAAGAUGCUGUCCAAAGGGUAAUGAGGAAACUUGCAAGCAGGAAUAAUAAAUCUGGGUUUCAUUCUAAAUAUGAUGAGAAGUUAAAGUCUGGAGUUUCAGACAUCUUGAGUCCAAAAUGCUCUUUGGCUAUUCAGGGAAAAUGUUCCGGGCAAUUGAAUAUUGAACCUGGAGCUCAAGGAACAGGUAGGUAGGGGUUGUACUGCAAAUGUAUGACUUAUCAGCUUUUUAUUAACCCUUCAAGCCAAAGAACUGAAUGGAAUGACUGAAGGAAAGAUUAUAGGCAGAGAAGAGGGCUGAGGCCUGGCCAGGGGCUCUGACUUUUAGAAGACAGAAAGAAGGAAUAUUCAGCCCAGAAGACUGAGAAGGAGCAGCCAAUGGGGUGAAUGAAAACUUGAGUGAAAUAACCUGGAAUCCGAGGGCUGAAAAUGCCUUCGGAAGGAAAGAAACUGCAGAGAAGCCUAUUCUGAUGAGGAUGGCAAUGUGGAUCCAGCAAGAUGGCGGCCAGCGGUAACGCUGGGUGAGCAGGUCUGGCGGAUUGGUUGGUGGCUACAGAAUAGUGACUGGAAAAGGUUAACAAGAGAAGGGAAAAUCCCGAGAGAGACUAGGAGAGGAGGAAGCAGAGGCAAAAGGUCUACGUGUAUUAAUUUGCUAGGGCUCAUGACAAAGUGCCACACACUGGGUGGCUUAAACACUAGAUAUUUAUUUCCUCACAGUUCUUGAGACUUGGAAGUCCAGGAUCAAGGUGUAGGCAGGCAGGGUUGAUUUUUUUCCUGGGGCCUCUCACCCUGACUUGCAGGUGGUGGCCUUCCCUCUGUGUGUGUCCUAAUAUUCUCUUCUGGUGAGGACACCAGUCAUUUUGGACGGAGGCCCACUCAGACUGCCUCCGUUUAACUUAAUCACCUCUGGAAAGGCCAUUUUAGGAAUGUAGUCACAUUCUGAGGUGCUAGGGUUUAUGGCUUCAACAUAUGGAUUUCAGGGCAAGGGGGCACUUAUCACUGAGCAAUUCCUUUUCAGGAAUUUUGCUGUGAAGGGGAGCAAAGGGCUGCACUGGAGGUGACAGGGGAGACAGGGAGGUUUCGUCUUUAUUUUGGAUUUUUGCCCUGGGAGAAGUUCCAGCCACCGGUACUGCUGGUGAGAAAGGCACGACAGAGAAGCUGAGACCACUGUGAGGGAGAGAGGGGGUCAGUACAAAGUCCUCAAAGCUCUGAGAGGGGAUGUGAUCAAGAGGUGUGAAAUGACUUACCCAGAUCACUAACUUGUGAGUGGUGGGGCUUGCACUCGACCCAGAGACUCAUGGUCUCACCAGCUACUUUUCAAUACCAGCAAUAACUGUACGAAUUCCCCAGGAAAGGAGCAGAGGAUCACAAUGGAGUAAACACAAUCAUGCCUGGACUUACAGCUGCCCCAGCUGCCUACUAGCCCUGCACUCAGGGGUUGGCCGGGUCCACAGAAGGGGAAGGAGGAGAAGUAGGUGAGGCUCUGUCCGACUGAUCAAUGAGCUGAAACACCCCCAGAAAGUCCAGUUCCACCGUGGUUGAAUAUUUGGAAUCUGUGACCCAGAACUGGCCUAUUUAUUUGAACUGAACUGGGCUUCAGGUCACCACCAGUUUCAGCCAGUUACAUCAUCACCUUUUCACAUGCAGAUUGCUACCCUCUUUCACAAGCCCAAGGAACGCGUGGCUUUGUGAUUUUGCUUUUACAAGCUCUCUUAUCACAGCAUGUAUGUGUUGGAGCCCAGAUGUUAAACAAAUCAAUCAGUAAAUAAACCUUGGCUUCACAUUUUGUACAAAGUUAACUGACGCAUGGACACACAGUCUACGCUGCUCACAGCCUCUAUGUCACGGGGUCUCUGAGUGAAAACACUUCAUUCUUUUUUUUUUUUUUUAACUGCUUUAUUGAGAUAUAGUUCAACUGUUAUAAAUUCCCCUCAUUUAAAUUGUACAUUCACUGAUUUUUACUGUAUUCACAGAGUUGUCAGCACUUCCUUCCUGACACUGUGGUUUUCACCUGAGCAGACAGGUCACACUCCCAGUGUUGGUACACCUCUGCUAUUUUAAUCAUGGCCAGUUCCUACCCUGAGAAGGUUACCUGAAGGCAAAUGUAGGUCUGACUGUGACUUCCCUGGUGCCUAGUGAGCAGCUGAUGAACUGGCCAAGUUCACUGGUAAAGACCACUCAGUGUCUGUUACAUGGGAGACUGUUGUGGAAUAAAUAGAUUGAGUGAGCAGGUUUUACUACAGGGAGGCAUGGACACUCUACUUGGAACUCAGACAAUGAGGUCUCAGUAUGUUUAAUCCCAACGGCGGAACACCAAAUCCCUUACAAUUGUUCCACAUCUUCUUACCAACCCUUUCCCCCAAAUGCUCCAUUUCAUUAUCCUCCAAAGUAUUUGUUUUGAAACUACAUACGUCCUCCUUCCUCUCAUGGAAACCACCUGUAGCAGCAACCACUGGGACUGCUGCAAACAUUUGUUUUUGAUAGCAGUGUAUUUUGAACGUCUGUGGUUUCAAUUUCUAUUUUUGUCCCUUACUGUCAUAACUUUUUGAUCUUUUUAUGCCUUUUAUGGGUAGUUUUGCUUUUCCCAAGCAUUUGCAAUCUGCUGAAUGUGUCAGCUACAUAAACUGUGAACUAAGAAAUUUAUAAUUUCAAAAUCAGUAUAACUGUCCAUGACUUACAGCUCUCAAGAUGUUUCCAUCUACAAUAUUUAAGUUGAUCCUCACAACAACUCAAUGGUCAUAAAACCAAGGUUUCCUGGCUGGUCAGCAACAAAAGUUAUAGUAAAAAAUGGGUGAUUUGAAUUCUAGUCUAGGAUUUUCUCCUUCCAGAACACUGGCCAUCAUAUAUGACUAUGGUUCUCCAAGUUUAGCUGAAUCAGAAUUGUUGAGGGGGCUUGAUACAACAAAGAUUGUGAGCUCCACCCCCAGCAUGUCUGAUUCAGUAGGUCUGGGCUGAGAGCCAAGAAUGUUAUUCACAUCCAAGCUCCUCCACUUUCUCCCCUGCCUUCCCCUUCUAGCUUCCCUUGCAGCUAGGGGUGGUCAUGUGACAUAUUCUGGCCAAUGAGAUGUGAGGAGAAGUCUGGGAAAACCUGUGCUUUCCUAAUGCAAAAGGGACAUACUUGGCCCUUCUCCCUUCCUACUUCUUCUUGUUUAGAACUCAUAUGUAGUGCUUGGAGGUACAGCAGCAUUUAUGACCAACAUGCUGAAACUGGCAGGACAGGAAGAUAGGAAGAGGCUGGGUCUCUGACAGCCCUUGGUUGCUUAUCUCCAGAUUUCUCUUCAAGUGAGAAAAAUAAAUCUCUGUUUAAGCCACUGUAGUCAGGUUCUCUGUUACUUGUAGUCAAAAGCAUACCUACUCAAUACAGAGAAAGAAGGCUAGAAGGGUGAAUGAGAAUCUGGGGCACUGCAUGAGAAAUGGCACUUUAAUGAGCAUUUGUGAGGCCCUCUUCUGUGGCUGACAUUGUGCCAGGUGAAUGAGACAUGGCUCCUGUUGAAAAGGCCACCAUGUAAAUGCACAAAUAAUAACACACGCGAAUAUUACUCAACCCAUAAAAAGGAACCAUGUUGGGUCAUUUGUAGAGAUGUGGAUGAACCUAGAGUCUGUCAUACAGAGUGAAGUAAGUCAGAAAGAGAAAAGCAAAUAGUAUAUGUUAACGCAUAUGUGUGGAAUCUAGAAAAAUGGUACAGAUGAACCUAUAUGCAAGGAGUAAAGAUGAAGGUGUAGACAACACACAUGUAGACAGGCAGAGGGGAAGGGGAAGGGGGGAUGAAUUGGGAGAUUGUGACUGGCAUACAUACACCACCAUGUGUGAAAUAGCUAAUUAGUAGGAACCUGCUGUAUACCAUGGGGAGCUCGGUUUGGUGCCAAAGAGGUGGGAUGGGAGGUGGAAGUGGGAGAGAGGUCCAAGAGGGAGGGGAUAUAUAUAUGCAUAUAUAUGUGUGUACGUAAACAUAUAUGUAUACAUAUACUUUCAUUUCAUUGUACAGCAGAAACUAACACAACAUCGUAAAGCAACUAUACCCCGAAAAGUUUAAACAACAAAAAACAUAUGAUAAGCACAAAGGUAGAAGCGAAAUGUUUGGGAAACCCAGACAAAGAAUGUUUCCUAGGGAGGUCAGCGAAGGCGCCCAGGAGGUAACAUUUUAGCAAAGUCCUGAAGAUACAUAAAAUUGCCAGAGAAGAGGGAGGUAAAAAAAGCUCUAUGUACUGUGUACUUCUCACCCUUACCUUUAGGGGCCAGAGGCUGGCCCGGCUGGGGGUAUACUGGGACAAACUUCCAGCAGAGUACACAGCUAUGCAGGAAGCUCAAAGUUCAAUGAACCAGGAGUGAAGUUGUCAGGAUUGGCAGGAACUCCUUGUCGCAGUUCAGGGAGCCAGAAAUCUGGGGCUGAAAGACCAGAGCAAGAGAUCAGAGGGCACAUGGGCAAGGGCAGGGCAGGAACCCGAUAAGAUGGGCAGACUUGCUUCUCAAGCAGGUGAGAAACUUAGGGCACCAAACACCCCAUUUCAUGAUUUCUUAUCAUUCAACUUCAUUUUCACUCUCAGCCCCCAUCCUGUUAGGCUUGCAGGAAAUUAAAUCUUAGUCUUUCCUGUGGCUUCCCCCUGCACCCAGGCUCUGAUGAAAUCCUGGUCUGUUACUCAGCCAGCAGUGCCCUGCAUUCCCCUUUGCUGCUGUCUCUGUGACACACGAACCCUGGCUGCAGGACCCCAUCGCCCUGAGGUAUCAUGACUAUUUCCACCAACUGCCCGAUACAUCCUCCGGUGCUUCUAGAAAGCAGGACUCAGGUCCCUGCUGCUGGCGGGCCCCAGAAGCCCCUCUUUCCUCUCCCCAGGCUGAGGCAUCUCUUCUUGGUUUGGAGGAAAUAUCUCCCUCUGGUCAGUUUCCGCUAGGGAUAUAUCCUCCCCACCCGCAUCCCUAUGCAGCUCAGCUGACUUAGGGCUGGGGAAAGACGAGCCAGGAAGGGAAGUGUCUGCAAGCCAACCCUGUUCCCCUGAGACUGGAGCAGACCCUUUUAGAAUGGGGGAAGGCAACAGGGGAAAUGCAGGGAGAAAAGUUUAAACUUUCAAUUAUUGGGCCACAUAUUAAUGGUGGUGGUGUGGUUUAAGGGGCCCCACACACACAUCCCAGGAGGUGUGGUGACAGAGUCAGGGAAAGCCUGAGAUGUCUGGAGAAUGGUGAGUACCUGGGGAGGAGGAGGGGACACCUUGGAGGACCAUUUGUAGAAUUUGGAUUUUAUUUUGUUGGCAACAGAAUUCAGGGAAGGUCAAUAUGCUGUGUUGACACAAAACUUCUUUUCUUUUUGGCAGUGCUGCACAGCAUGUGAAAUUUCCCCAAUCAGGGAUCAAACCUGUGCCCCCUGCACCACCAAGAUCUUUUUUUCUUGUUUGUUUUAAAGGGGCAGCUCUGAUGGAAGAUAAGUUGUGGAGAGCCUGUGCUUGGCCACAGGAAUAAGCCAGACAAAGGCGAGUGAGAAUUUAAAUCAGGGAGACAGAAAAGUGCCACCACGGUUCUGGGAUAAAAGCAACAGAGAAUCUGGUCACUGAUGGCCUUUGAUGGAAUAAGGUGGACUAACAAAGAGACAAGUUGAAGGAGAGUCCAAGGUUUCUAGCUCUCUGCUUCCUGUAUGUUGACGUCCCUCGCAGACAGGUUUUUUGUCAUUAUGUGGCAAAAGGACCUUUCGCAGCUCGAGACGUUCAUACUUCUUAGUACUGGAAAUCCCGAUAUAUAUAUAUAGUUCUACAAUAAGUAGCGGUGAUUUCUGAAGACAGUUUUUUGAUCGACUGGCUUGGAUCACGUGUCCACCUCUUUGGCAAGGGAGCCCAUGCACAGACUGGAUGAUACAGUGUAUGAGAAGUGUUCACCAACAGAAGAGUGAUGUCAUGGCCACCAUGCUGCCCAGCUUCAGAACUCUAAUUCAUGAUGUAGUGUAUGUGAAUGGGACCUCCUGGAGUCGGGGAGUGCACAACCCCAGAGAGGUCACACAUGGUGGCCCUUGGUUCUGUAAACUAAAGAACGGCAAAGGAAGUUGGACAGGCAAAACCAGCAGUUGAACCCAACCAGAAGGCAGAGUCAUGAGCAUCCACUGAUGUGGUCCAUACAGAUCAAUAUUCCAGGAAGAGUGCAGGAUGAAGAAGAGAAUGAGGAGAUCUGACCCUAAGGAGGAAACAGAUAUUUUGCUACAGUUCUAAAGAGGCUUUCCACCAACCCCCAGGUACACAGCUAGUCAACACCAUGCUGCUUGGAAUCCAUCCAGUUCUUGUUGACCAUGCUUCAUCGUCAUGAAUGUGCAAGGAUGUGUAUUAAAAAAUACCAAAGUGCUUAUCUGCUGAUUCCUAGGAUACCUUGCAAACUGGACAAGUAGUAUCAACUCCUGCUUUUAAAGAUUUAGACUAUUUGCUUUUUUUUUUUUUUUUCAACUGCAAGCCAGUCAACCCCUAAAAAUAUACAGCCCACAGACUUCUGCAAUCAGGUGCCCUUGGAAAAAUUCCCUAAUUAAGUGAUGAGAUCCUUGAAGAAAGACAUUUCUAUCAUACUGCUAUCAUUUUCAUUACUCAUCUUGGUUUUUAAAUAUCACAGAAAUUUUCAAAUAUGAAAAAUAGUAUAAAGAUAAUGUAUACUCAUAUCUGCUACCCUAAUUUAGAAAAUGUUAAUAUUUUGAUGUUUCAGAAAUUUUAAAUAAAAUAUCACAGGGUGGAA